rnacentral:lncRNA from 1 species
UAAUUAAGCAUUUAUUUUGGCCUAGUAUCUAAAUUUUUUUUUAUUUUAAGAAACUUAAACACACGUACCAUCCCUAGCGCAAGUGGCAAAGGGCUUGAUGCUUGGUAUUCGAGGUUCUAAAUUCGAGUCCUAGUUGAUUCACAUUUUCAGCUGAAGUUUAUUUCUAAAUAAAAUAAAUGAAGCAGGUAGCAUACUUUAAAAUUUUCUACUUUUUACAACUACAGAAAGUUAUAAAAUAGAACAGUACUUUUACAGGGAGCUCCGACAGGGGGCGGAGAACAGAGAAACCUUUCCCCACAUAGAGAUGUUUUGCUUGAUAGAGUAGGUUUACGAUCGUGUUAGUUCACAAUUGUUAGGCUAGCAAUGCUCUAUCCUAAUUAAAUCCCUACUCUAUUGGUCAAGACAAGUCAAAGGGGGUGUUGGUCCCCUCUUAACCCAAUUUAUUCCAUUUGAUAUGUACAUGUAACUAGAAUUUAAUUUUAAUAUAUAAUAAUAAUAUCCACAGCUAUUGUACCUCUGAGAAAGGUUCGGAAUCAAAGUAGACCCCCAUCAAAAAUAUUCAAAUGCAUUUAUUUAUGAGAUUUAAGCACGGAUUGACUGUACGUGCGGUCCCGAGCCGGUCGUGCCGUACUGUGCCAAAGUUGUGCCUACAUGUUUUUCAAUAUGUUUGAGCUCUUUUAGAGCUAUUUCGAGAUAAAAAGGUUAUAAAAUA